UGUGGGUGUGUUUGCAGUGUGCAGAGUAAACGAGUAAAAAACGCUGUGCAGUCAUGUCUCCGGUUCUUUCUGCGCAUGCUCCGAACUUAAUGGGAUAAUAUGUGUUUUAUAGCAUAAUGAUGCAAACAUAACAUUAUUUACAUUCAUCACAUUACUGUGCUGGAAAACAAUACAAAUUAAAUAAAAAAGAAGAAAAAGUGUAGAAGAAGAAAAGCGGGACAAAGACAGAGUAUUGGGUGACCUACGUUCCUGUGGUGGUGAACAUGACUGCGAGUUCUCCAGAAGAACAAAUGCUGCCUGACUUUAAAAUCCCACCCCUGUCUGGCCUGCACUUCCUCCCUCACUCUGCCCUGUCUUUCCCUCCUGCAUUGCCUGAGUUUCUCUCACCCACAUUACUUCACCUACAUUACCAUACCUAACUGUGCUAUAUGGGAUGUUCUACUAUAAUGAUCAGGCCGUGUACAACCAGACUCCAUUCCCAAUGGUCCCUCCACUGCAGCAACAUCCAUCUACCAAGAGGAAGAGGAAAACGAUGAACAGCUUGAGAGUUAUUCAGUAAAAUCUGCUGCAUUAGAUGGCGCUAAAAAGUCUACCUCUUCAGCUGAGCCCGGUCCUGCACAAGCCGUCACACCAAAGCCAGAUAAAACAGAGCCUGUGCACGUGCCCCCAGAGGUUCCAGCUUCUGCUCUAUUCACCAUCGAUGAGCCGAAACAGACACGGCUCCUCGUCCUGACGACUCCCGAUCGCUCAGAGAGGAUAAGCCAGAGCUCGCUUUCCAGCAGUCUGACUUUGACCUUGAGCCAGUCUCAACCACAGUCGAGAAUUCCAGUGUGUCUCCUGUGAUUGUGGAGCAUCUGACUUAAGCAGAAACACCAGCAGAUGAGAUCGAAGCGCAGGAAGCCGAGCCGCCGAAGAACGAACCUGAGCCCGGCUCUGAGGAUGAAAGCAACGAUGGGGUCCUUUCACCUGUCGAAGAGCCCAACAACAGCACCAUGCACAAGCCAGAGAUGGAGAAUAAGAGGAUACAAUAUAGUAGAGACUUUCUUUUGAGCAUUCAGUUCAUGCCUGAUUGUAUGCAGAAACCAGAGGGGCUUCCAUCCAUACCUGGAUGCAGAUAUUAUUUAAAUACAGUCGUGCUGAUGUUGUGUGUUGAGAUUUUCCGGACGGUGCGCGGUUUCCUUAACAAACUGACGGCAGAGAUGUUUAAUCAGCUGAUGAAGCAGGUGAAAGAGAUCCACAUCGACACAGAGGAGCGAUUAAAGGGUGUCGUCAACCUGAUUUUUAAGAAAGCCAUUGAUGAGCCCAACUUCUCCGUGGGGUACAGGGUCAUGUGUAAAUCUCUGGCUGCGUAUUUUCAAGUCAUGAGACCAUGAACACUGUGAGCAUGAACAUUACAAUAGACUUCAACAAGAUCCCUAAAAUCAACAAGUUACCAGCAGAUGAUAAGAUUUAUUUGGGACCGAAUUUCGGGGGACGACGGCUGAACUGGAAGAACGGCUGCGAUGGAGAAACUAGCGCUAGAGCCACAUCCGGAGCAUCAGUAAAACUCGACGCAGUGCCAGACUCGACUACAAACAAGCCUGCGCUAUCAGAGGAGGAAAUGGAGAAACGCUCUAAAUCCAUUAUUGAGGAGUUUCUACACAUAAAUUAUUACAAAGUAAUGAUUUCAUGCAGUGACCUGGACCACGCUGGAGCGAAACCAGAUCACACGUGACCACGUGGGUCAUCUGUUCCAUCAGCUGCUGCAGGCUGGGAUCCUCUCCACAUCUCAGUUUUUUAAAGGGCUCUCAGAAACCCUCGAGAUAGCAGAUGAUAUGGCGAUUGACAUUCCUUAUGUAUGGCAGUACAUAGCGGAGCUCGUUAAUCCUGUGCUUCGGGAAGGAGGAAUCUCUUUGAGAGAAUUAUUAAUUUAAUUUAGCAAACCACUACUUCCUGUGGCAAGAGCCGGCAUAUUAUUUGCAGAAAUAUUGCAGCUUCUCUGCAAACAAAUGAGCCAAAAGGAAGUGGAGGCCUUAUGGAGAGACUCUAAACUGAGCUGGGCUGAUUUUCUUCCUGAAACCGUGGAUGGGAACAACUUCAUUACUGAGCAGCCCUGAUGAAGUCUGAUGACCUGAAGAGGGUGGAGCUGAGACUUCAGACAGCAGACGGACUUCUGAGGAGGAACAUCAGCACCACACGAGAGGUGGCAGCAGGAUGGGGGCAGGUCAUGACGUGGAUGAAACUGUGGACGAAAUCUCCGCGAGACAGAACGCCAUACUGUGAUCCUUGGAGAUUCCAUCGUCCGGCAUGUCUGCGCUACCGGAGUCAAAGGUAAGGUGCACACUCGCUGUUUUCCUGGUGCUCGUGUUCUCGAUGUCGCUGCACAGGUACCCGCGAUCCUGAACGAGAACUUCGGAGCGGUUGUUCUCCAUGUCGGAGCAAACGACACCCGGCUGAGGCAAACAGAGAUCUUAAAGAGGGAUUUCAGGAUCCUGGUGGAGACGGUACGCAGCACAUCACCCACAACGAGGAUCAUAGUGUCAGGACCUCUUCCCACUUACCAGCGAGGGGCUGAGAAGUUUAGUAG